rnacentral:rRNA from 1 species
AUUGAACGCUGGCGGCAUGCUUUACACAUGCAAGUCGAACGGUAACAGGCCGCAAGGUGCUGACGAGUGGCGAACGGGUGAGUAAUGCAUCGGAACGUGCCCAGUCGUGGGGGAUAACGCAGCGAAAGCUGCGCUAAUACCGCAUACGAUCUAUGGAUGAAAGCGGGGGACCGGAAGGCCUCGCGCGAUUGGAGCGGCCGAUGUCAGAUUAGGUAGUUGGUGGGGUAAAGGCUCACUAAGCCAACGAUCUGUAGCUGGUCUGAGAGGACGACCAGCCACACUGGGACUGAGACACGGCCCAGACUCCUACGGGAGGCAGCAGUGGGGAAUUUUGGACAAUGGGCGCAAGCCUGAUCCAGCAAUGCCGCGUGCAGGAAGAAGGCCUUCGGGUUGUAAACUGCUUUUGUACGGAACGAAACGGUCCUGGUUAAUACCUGGGGCUAAUGACGGUACCGUAAGAAUAAGCACCGGCUAACUACGUGCCAGCAGCCGCCGUAAAAC